CACCGGCGUCUCCGCGACGAUCAGCUGUGAAUCCCGCCAGGCCCGGAAGGGAGCAACGGUAGCGGCAACGAUCGGGUGCCGGAGGAGUGCUGGUGCGG
rnacentral:SRP_RNA from 1 species